CUACGGGUCGCUGCAGGCGAGAAAACUUUGCAAUGUGCGAAAGCACGACAAGGUUAAUCCGAGUGGUUUGUGCUAAACGAACCUUUUGACAGUCCUAGAAACACUGUUGAAUAAGGGGUGGGCAAGUUCUGGUGUCAGCCGCCGCGGUAAAACCAGCACCUCAAGUGGUCAGGAUGAUUAUUGGGCCUAAAGCAUCCGUAGCCGGCUCUGUAAGUUUUCGGUUAAAUCUGUACGCUCAACGUACAGGCUGCCGGGAAUACUGCAGAGCUAGGGAGUGGGAGAGGUAGACGGUACUCGGGUAGGAAGGGGUAAAAUCCUUUGAUCUAUUGAUGACCACCUGUGGCGAAGGCGGUCUACCAGAACACGUCCGACGGUGAGGGAUGAAAGCGUGGGUAGCAAACAGGAUUAGAUACCCUCGUAGUC
rnacentral:rRNA from 1 species